GCGGGAGGGAAAAAAGAAAACCAACAGGGGAUUGCCUUAGUAACGGCGAGUGAAGCGGCAACAGCUCAAAUUUGAAAUCUGGCCCUCGGGUCCGAAUUGUAAUUUGUAGAGGAUGAUUUUGGUGCGGUAUCUUCCGAGUUCCUUGGAACAGGACGCCUUAGAGGGUGAGAGCCCCGUACGGUUGAAUGCCUAGCCUCUGUAAAUCUCCUUCGACGAGUCGAGUAGUUUGGGAAUGCUGCUCUAAAUGGGAGGUAAAUUUCUUCUAAAGCUAAAUAUUGGCCAGAGACCGAUAGCGCACAAGUAGAGUGAUCGAAAGAUGAAAAGCACUUUGAAAAGAGGGUUAAAUAGCACGUGAAAUUGUUGAAAGGGAAGGAUUUGUGACCAGACUUUUUCUGGGCGGAUCAUCCGGGGUUCUCUCCGGUGCACUUUGCCCAGUAAAGGCCAGCAUCGAUUUUCGGCGGCGGAUAAAAGCAGUGGGAAUGUGGCUCCCUACGGGGAGUGUUAUAGCCCGUUGUAUAAUACGCUGCUGGGGAUCGAGGUACGCGCUUCUGCAAGGAUGCUGGCGUAAUGGUUAUCAAUCACCCGUCUUGAAACACGGACCAAGGAGUCGAACAUUUAUGCGAGUGUUUGGGUGUUAAACCCUCACGCGUAAUGAAAGUGAACGGAGGUGAGAGCCCGUACGGGUGCAUCAUCGACCGAUCCUGAAGUUUUCGGAUGGAUUUGAGUAAGAGCAUAACUGUUCGGACCCGAAAGAUGGUGAACUAUGCGUGGAUAGGGUGAAGCCAGAGGAAACUCUGGUGGAGGCUCGCAGCGGUUCUGACGUGCAAAUCGAUCGUCAAAUCUGCGCAUGGGGCGAAAGACUAAUCGAACCAUCUAGUAGCUGGGAUACCGCCGAAGU
rnacentral:rRNA from 1 species